rnacentral:rRNA from 1 species
GACGAACGCUGGCGGCGCGCUUAACACAUGCAAGUCGAGCGAGAACCAGCCCUUCGGGACUGGGGACAGCGGCGAACGGGUGAGUAACACGUGGGUAAUCUGCCCUCGAUUCUGGGAUAGCCCGGGGAAACCCGGAUUAAUACCGGAUAGCCUCUCGAGCUCUCGGGCUCUUGAGAAAAGGUAGCUUCGGCCUCCGAUCGAGGAUGAGCCCGCGGCGGAUUAGCUUGUUGGUGGGGAAUGGCCUACCAAGGCAACGAUCCGUAGCUGGUCUGAGAGGACGAUCAGCCACACUGGGACUGAGACACGGCCCAGACUCCUACGGGAGGCAGCAGUGGGGAAUCUUGCGCAAUGGGCGAAAGCCUGACGCAGCGACGCCGCGUGAGGGAUGACGGCCUCGGUUGUAA